rnacentral:rRNA from 1 species
UAGGGAAUAUUGGGCAAUGGAGAGAACUCUGACCCAGCCAUGCCGCGUGCAGGAUGAAGGCGUUAUGCGUUGUAAACUGCUUUUUAUAUAGGAAGAAAUAGUCCUUGCGAGGAAAGUUGACGGUACUAUAUGAAUAAGCACCGGCUAACUCCGUGCCAGCAGCCGCGGUAAUACGGAGGGUGCAAGCGUUGUCCGGAUUUAUUGGGUUUAAAGGGUGCGUAGGCGGUUUAUUAAGUCAGUGGUGAAAGACGGUCGCUCAACGAUUGCAGUGCCAUUGAUACUGGUAGACUUGAGUAUGAUUGAGGUAGCUGGAAUGGAUAGUGUAGCGGUGAAAUGCAUAGAUAUUAUCCAGAACACCAAUUGCGUAGGCAAGUUACUAAGUCAUAACUGACGCUGAGGCACGAAAGUGUGGGUAUCAAACAGGAUUAGAUACCCCAGUAGUCCCUGAGCGGGCUGGCAAGGCGCAU